rnacentral:lncRNA from 10 species
GCAAGGACAGGUCAGAAGGAGAAAUCCUGCAACAUGGAUAUGUACAGACACAAUCAGGUACAAGGUGGUAGAAGAGACAUCUCCUAGUGAGUGUUAGGAGCCCAGAAUUGGACAGGACUCAACUCUCCUGAGUUUAUUCCGAAAUAAUCAAGACUGGAUUCCAACCGUCAAGGAUCUAGCCUGGUAAGAGUAUUUCUAAGUGAGGGACUUGGACACAGGGGAAUAAGGUAAAAAUUGAUUACCCUUUCCAAGUAAAACAUGAGGACAACAUGUAAGGAACAAAUGUGAUGCUUGGCCUUUUGAGUUAAUAUCCUGUGAAGAAACUCAGUGUUAGCCCAGUUUUAAAUCCUCCUUUCCCAAGCUUGGGUACUCAGGCAAAAUUGACCCAGCAGCUGGAAAUCAAGGGGUACUCACUAUGAGGAGGACAAAAAGGCAAAUACAUCCAUGAGAACUUCCCCAACAUAGCUAGAAUGGCCAACAUUCAAAUUCAGGAAAUGAAGACAACCAAAUAAGAUACUCCAUGAGAAGAUCACUCCUAAGACACAUAAUCAUCAGAUUCUCCAAGAUCAAAAUGAAAGAAAAAAUGUUAAAGGCACUUAGAGAAAAAGGCCAGAUCAUCUACAAAAGGAAGCCCAUCAUGCUAACAGAACUCUCAGCUGAAAUCCUACAAGCCAGAGGAGAAUGGGAACCAAUAUUUAACAUUUUUAAAGAAAAGAAAUUCCAACCCAGAAUUUUAUAUUCAACCUAACUAAACUUCAUCAGCAAAGGAGAAAUAAAAUCCAUUUCAAACAAGCAACCGCUGGGGGAAUCUGUUACUACCAAACCUGCCUUAUGAGAACUCCUAAAGAAAGCAGUAAAUAUGGAAAGGAAAGGCCG